rnacentral:rRNA from 1 species
GACAGAGGGGGCAAGCGUUGCUCGGAAUUACUGGGCGUAAAGGGCGCGUAGGCGGGAUGGCAAGUCGGUCGUGAAAUCCCUCGGCUCAACCGAGGAACGUCGAUCGAUACUGCUGUUCUUGAGGAUUGCAGAGGAGACUGGAAUUCCCGGUGUAGCGGUGAAAUGUGUAGAGAUCGGGAGGAACACCAGUGGCGAAGGCGACUACCUGGCCCAUUCUUGACGCUGAGGCGCGAAAGCUAGGGGAGCGAACGGG